rnacentral:rRNA from 1 species
UACAGAGGGUGCGAGCGUUGUCCGGAAUCACUGGGCGUAAAGGGCGCGUAGGUGGCGACCCAAGUCUGUGGUGAAAGCUCGACGCUCAACGUCGAGUCGGCCAUAGAUACUGGGUUGCUGGAGCACUGUAGAGGCAGAUGGAAUUCCUGGUGUAGCGGUGAAAUGCGCAGAUAUCAGGAGGAACACCGAUGGCGAAGGCAGUGAUCUGGGCCAGUACUGACGCUGAGGAGCGAAAGCGUGGGGAGCAAACGGG